GAUGAACGCUGACAGGAUGCUUAACACAUGCAAGUCAACUUGAAGCAGUUUCGGCUGUGGAUGGUGGCGGACGGGUGAGUAACGCGUAAAUAACUUGCCCUUUAGACUGGGACAACUGUUGGAAACGACAGCUAAUACCGGAUAUUAUGAAACCUUGGCAUCAAGGGAUUAUGAAAGCUAUAUGCGCUAGAGGAGAGAUUUGCGUCCUAUUAGCUAGUUGGUGAGGUAAUGGCUCACCAAGGCGACGAUAGGUAGCCGGCCUGAGAGGGUGAACGGCCACAAGGGGACUGAGACACGGCCCUUACUCCUACGGGAGGCAGCAGUGGGGAAUAUUGGACAAUGGACCAAGAGUCUGAUCCAGCAAUUCUGUGUGUUUGAUGAAGGCCUUCGGGUUGUAAAGAACUUUAAGUAGGGAAGAAGAAAGUGACGGUACCUACAGAUUAAGCGACGGCUAAAUACGUGCCAGCCGCCGCCGUAA
rnacentral:rRNA from 1 species